rnacentral:rRNA from 1 species
CAGUCGCCACGGUAAUACGAAGGGGGCUAGCGUUGUUCGGAAUUACUGGGCGUAAAGCGCACGUAGGCGGAUUUUUAAGUCAGGGGUGAAAUCCCGAGGCUCAACCUCGGAACUGCCUUUGAUACUGGAGAUCUUGAGUUCGGAAGAGGUUGGUGGAACAGCUAGUGUAGAGGUGAAAUUCGUAGAUAUUAGCUAGAACACCAGUGGCGAAGGCGGCCAACUGGUCCGAUACUGACACUGAGGUGCGAAAGCGUGGGGAGCAAACAGGAUUAGAUACCCGCGUAGUCCCUGUCUCUUAUAC